ensembl:snRNA U6 U6 spliceosomal RNA
CUGCUUGCUUCAGCAGCACAUACACUAAAAUUGGAACAAUACAGAAACAAUUAGCAUGGCCCCCGUGCAAGGAUGUCAGGCAAAUUCAUGAAGUGUUCCAUAUUAAA